rnacentral:rRNA from 1 species
GAUGAACGCUGGCGGUAUGCCUAACACAUGCAAGUCGUACGAGAGUUUUUAACUCUAGUGGCGGACGGGUGAGUAACACGUGAGAAUUUGCCUUUAGGAGGGGGAUAACAAUUGGAAACGAAUGCUAAUACCCCAUAUGCUUUUGAGUGAAACGGAUUUAUCCGCCUAGAGAGAAGCUCGCGGCUGAUUAGCUUGUUGGUAAGGUAAGAGCUUACCAAGGCGACGAUCAGUAUCUGGUUUGAGAGGACGAUCAGACACACUGGAACUGAGACACGGUCCAGACUCCUACGGGAGGCAGCAGUGGGGAAUUUUCCGCAAUGGGCGAAAGCCUGACGGAGCAAUACCGCGUGAGGGAAGACUGCCUAUGGGUUGUAAACCUCUUUUUUCAGGGAGGAAUAAAAUGACGUGUACCUGAAGAAUAAGCAUCGGCUAACUCCGUG